rnacentral:rRNA from 1 species
UUUAAAGUCUAAUCUGCCCUAUGAGGAGUUAAAUGGCCGCGGUAUUUUGACCGUGCAAAGGUAGCAUAAUAAUUAGUUUUUUAAUUGAAAGCUGGAAUGAAUGAUUGGACGAGAAAAUAGCUGUCUCGGUUUAAUUUAUUUAGAAUUUUAUUUUUAAGUAAAAAAGCUUAAAUUUUUUUAAAAGACGAGAAGACCCUAUAGAGUUUUAUAUAAAUUUAAUUAUAAGUUGUUUGGUAUUUUUAUACUAAUAUUUUAAUUUAUAUUUUGUUGGGGUGAUAGAAAAAUUUAAUUAACUUUUUUUUACAAUAAGACAUUUAUUUAUGAUUCAUUGAUCCAAUUAUUUUGAUUAUAAGAUUAAAUUACCUUAGGGAUAACAGCGUAAUUUUUUUUUAGAGUUCUUAUCGAAAGAAAAGAUUGCGACCUCGAUGUUGGAUUAAAAUUAAUUUUUGGUGUAGAAGCUAAAUGAUUAGGUCUGUUCGACCUUUAAAAUUUUACA